CGCGAAACCUUUACACUGCACGACAGUGCGAUAAGGGAACUCCGAGUGCGGAGGCAUAGAGCCUUCGCUUUUGUACACCGUAAGGUGGUGCACGAAUAAGGGCUGGGCAAGACCGGUGCCAGCCGCCGCGGUAAUACCGGCAGCCCAAGUGAUGGCCGAUAUUAUUGGGCCUAAAGCGUCCGUAGCUGGCCGGACAAGUCCGUUGGGAAAUCCGCGCGCUCAACGCGCGGGCGUCCAGCGGAAACUGUCCGGCUUGGGGCCGGAAGACCUGAGGGGUACGUCCGGGGUAGGAGUGAAAUCCUGUAAUCUCGGACGGACCGUCUGUGGCGAAAGCGCCUCAGGAAGACGGACCCGACAGUGAGGGACGAAAGCCAGGGUCUCGAACCGGAUUAGAUACCCGGGUAGUCCUGGCUGUAAACGAUGUCCGCUAGGUGUGACGCGGGCUACGAGCCUGCGCUGUGCCGUAGGGAAGCCGUGAAGCGGACCGCCUGGGAAGUACGUCUGCAAGGAUGAAACUUAAAGGAAUUGGCGGGGGAGCACUACAACC
rnacentral:rRNA from 1 species